AUUGCUAGUAAUCGCGAAUCAGAAUGUCGCGGUGAAUACGUUCCCGGGCCUUGUACACACCGCCCGUCACACCAUGAGAGUCGAUAACACCCGAAGCCUGUGAGCUAACCUUUUAGGAGGCAGCAGUCGAAGGUGGGGUUGAUGAUUGGGGUGAAGUCGUAACAAGGUAAC
rnacentral:rRNA from 1 species